ACGAAUGGCGUAAUGAUGGCCAGGCUGUCUCCACCCGAGACUCAGUGAAAUUGAACUCGCUGUGAAGAUGCAGUGUACCCGCGGCAAGACGGAAAGACCCCGUGAACCUUUACUAUAGCUUGACACUGAACAUUGAGCCUUGAUGUGUAGGAUAGGUGGGAGGCUUUGAAGCGUGGACGCCAGUCUGCGUGGAGCCGACCUUGAAAUACCACCCUUUAAUGUUUGAUGUUCUAACGUGGAUCCGUAAUCCGGGUUGCGGACAGUGUCUGGUGGGUAGUUUGACUGGGGCGGUCUCCUCCUAAAGAGUAACGGAGGAGCACGAAGGUUGGCUAAUCCUGGUCGGACAUCAGGAGGUUAGUGCAAUGGCAUAAGCCAGCUUGACUGCGAGCGUGACGGCGCGAGCAGGUGCGAAAGCAGGUCAUAGUGAUCCGGUGGUUCUGAAUGGAAGGGCCAUCGCUCAACGGAUAAAAGGUACUCCGGGGAUAACAGGCUGAUACCGCCCAAGAGUUCAUAUCGACGGCGGUGUUUGGCACCUCGAUGUCGGCUCAUCACAUCCUGGGGCUGAAGUAGGUCCCAAGGGUAUGGCUGUUCGCCAUUUAAAGUGGUACGCGAGCUGGGUUUAGAACGUCGUGAGACAGUUCGGUCCCUAUCUGCCGUGGGCGCUGGAGAACUGAGGGGGGCUGCUCCUAGUACGAGAGGACCGGAGUGGACGCAUCACUGGUGUUCGGGUUGUCAUGCCAAUGGCACUGCCCGGUAGCUAAAUGCGGAAGAGAUAAGUGCUGAAAGCAUCUAAGCACGAAACUUGCCCCGA
rnacentral:rRNA from 1 species